CCUGGUUGAUCCUGCCGGUAGUCAUAUGCUUGUCUCAAAGAUUAAGCCAUGCAUGUGUAAGUAUGAACUAUUUCAGACUGUGAAACUGCGAAUGGCUCAUUAAAUCAGUUAUAGUUUGUUUGAUGGUGCGUGCUACUUUCGGAUAACCGUAGUAAUUCUAGAGCUAUCGUGCAACAAACCUCGACUUCGGAAGGGAUGCAUUUAUUAGAUAAAAAAAGCUGGCGUGGGCUUUGCUGCUGCUGCUCCGAUGAUUCAUGAUAACUUCGGCGGAUCGCUUGCGGCCCUCGUGCGGCGGCGCAUCAUUCAAAAUUUGCCCUAUCAACUUUUCGAUGGUAGGAUAGGGGCCUACCAUGGUGGUGGCGGGUGGCGGAGGAGGUAGGGUUCGAUUCGGAGGGGAGCACGGCGGCUACCACAUCCAAGGAAGGCAGCGGUAGCGCAAAAAAUUACCCAAUCGACGACCGCGGGGGUAGUGACAAUAAAUAACAAUACCGGGCUCUUGAUGUCAGGUAAUGGAAAUAAAUAAUACAAUCUAAAUCCCUUAACGAGGAUCCAUUGGAGGGCAAGUCGGUGCCGGCGGCCGCGGUAAUUCCAAUUCAAUAAUAGCGUAUAUUUAAGUUGUUGCAGUUAAAAAAAAAGCUUCGUAGUUGGACUUUGGGGCCGGGUUGGGUCGGUCCGCCUCGCGGUGUGCACGGUCGUCCCAUCCCUCUGUCGGCGAUCGUGCCUGGCCUUAACUGGCGGGUGGUGCCUCCGGCGCUGUUACUUUGAAGAAAUUAGAGUGCUCAAAAGCAAGCCCACGCUCUGGAUACAUUAGCAUGGGAUAACAUCACGGGAUUUCGGUCCUAUUGUGUUGGCCUUGGGAUGGGAGUAAUGAUUAAGAGGGACGGUCGGGGGGCAUUAAAUAUUUCAUAGUCGAGAGGUGAAAUUCUUGGAUUUAUGAAAGGCGAACCACUGCGAAAAAAGCAUUGCCAAGGAUGUUUUCAUUAAUCAAGAACGAAAGUUGGGGGCUCGAAGGCGAUCGGAUACCGUCCUAGUCUCAACCAUAAGCGAUGCCGACCGGGGAUGGGGGAUGUUACUCUUAGGACUCCGCCCGGCACCUUAUGAAAAUCAAAGUCUUUGGGUUCGGGGGGGUAUGGUGCAUAAGGCUGAAACUUAAAGGAAUUGUGGAAGGGCACCACCGGGGAGUGGAGCCUGCGGCUUAAUUUGACUCAACAGGGGGAAACUUACCAGGUCCGACACAUAGCAAGGAUUGACAGACUGAGCUCUUUCUUGAUUCUAUGGGUGGUGGUGCAUGGCCGUUCUUAGUUGGUGGAAGCGAUUUGUGCGGUUAAUCCGAUAUACGCGAGAGAGACCUCGACACGCUAACUAGCUUCUGGCGGAGGCAUCCCUCAUGACCAGCUUCUUAGAGGGACUAUGGCGUUUUAGC
rnacentral:rRNA from 1 species